UACGAAGGGGGCUAGCGUUGCUCGGAAUCACUGGGCGUAAAGCGCACGUAGGCGGAUUGCUAAGUCAGGGGUGAAAUCCUGGAGCUCAACUCCAGAACUGCCUUUGAUACUGGCGACCUUGAGACCGGGAGAGGUGAGUGGAACUGCGAGUGUAGAGGUGAAAUUCGUAGAUAUUCGCAAGAACACCAGUGGCGAAGGCGGCUCACUGGCCCGGUACUGACGCUGAGGUGCGAAAGCGUGGGGAGCAAACAGG
rnacentral:rRNA from 1 species